rnacentral:snRNA from 1 species
ACUAUCCUUUUGCAACAA